UCCAGCUUUAAGGAAAACUGGGCUUCCUCCUCAGCCUCUGGGAGUCAAUUUUGAUUAACCUAAGCCUGUAGAGGAAAUUCUAACCUGCCUGCCAGUAACUGGUUUUAGUUUGAGUAUGUGAUGCAAUUCUGACCAAGGAGGGGAAAUCAGCGGUGGAGAUAUUUCUGAAGCUUGAUUGCACAUGUGAAUCGCCUGGGAUUUUUCUACAAGGUAGAUUUCGAGUCUGUUGGUCUGGGGUGGAGCUGAGGAGCCACCUAAUAAGUCCCUAGGGAAGAUAGAUCCACAUGCUUCCAGUCUGAGGACCCCACUGAGUAGUCAUUGUUUGAGGAACUGAGAAUCUACAGGAUGACACCCACACUUCUGCAGCGAAAUUCAUGGUGGGGCUGAAGGCUGGCUGUUACUGUGAUGAUCUAAACACUCACUGUGACAUUGCUUUCAAUUUGGGGAGUCUGAGUGAACUCCGGGAGUUGGUGAUGGACAGGGAGGCCCAGCGUGCUGCAAUUCACGGGGUCGCAAAGAGUUGGACACGACUGAGUGACUGAACUGAACUGAACUGAUACACAGAAAUUACUGGAUCAUAUGGGUGAUCAGAAGCUCUAGGCAGAGAACACAAGUAUAUCUGUGAUUCCCUUUGUACACCAUCUGACCCACUGCCACGACUUCAGGUGUUUUCAUCAUGAUAGUGAAGAACAAGGGCACCAAGUGAAGUUUGGAGUCAUGGUUCAGAGGCAAAGGAGUGGCUCUACAGCAGGGCCUGAGGGUCCAUGUGAAAGAGAUGAAACAAGCAACCUUUCUGGUAGACACUUCAGUCCUUGAUGGAAGACUGUGUUUCCAGAAAUUGAAUUGAAACCUCUACUUGGGGAAUUUAAAGGGAAGAAUGGAUCACAUUGCCGGUGAAUUUUUUUAACAUGGUAAUGACUCUUAGUACCUAGAAUAAGGCAAUAAGAGGUUACCAUGAGGUAACACAAGAAUGGAGAAUCAGGAAGACUGAAACAAUGAAACAGACAGACUGACAUCAUGCCACAGGGUGUAUAUUCUUUCUUAAAAGUUCAAAGAUGCUACAAUUUCUGUGGCAUAUAUAACCCUCCUGAUAAUCCCUAAGAGGGUUUCCCAGGUAUUCAGUGGAAAAGAAUCUGUCUGCCAUGCAGGGAAUCCAGUUUUCAGUCAUUUGAAUGUAUCCUAAGGCAAUUAUGCUAGUUAGAUCAUAAGAGAUGAUUUCAUACGAGAAACACACAUUUGAAUUAAAUACAGUGAUGAUAACAAUGAUAUGCAUUGAAUGCUUAACAUAUGCCAGACUUUUCUAACUGCUUUACUUCUAGCAACUAAUUUCAUCAAGGAGAGAGAACAAGCAUCACAAAAAUAUUAAUUUUAUUGCUGACAAAGUAAUUCACUUAAAAAAUGUAUCUGCUAAAUAAAAUACGGUAGAAAUAAAACACUGUGGUCCCAUGGAUCACUGGUGACACAAAGAGGUAUGAUGUUUAUAAUGUCUGCCUUGGACAGGGAUUAACGUCUGGAAUAUACAGAGAAACUUCUGCAUAUCUACAACAACAAAAUAAUCCAGCAGAAAAAUGGGCAAAAUGUGGAAGAGGAUGUUUAUAGAAGAGGAAACUCUUCGAGGUAAAAAACAGAUGUACAGAUGCUCUAACAUUAUUAAUAAAGGAAAUUAAAGUAAAAUAAUGAGAUAUCACAUUGUGCCCAUUAACUAGGCAAUAAUCAGAGAGAUGGAUGUUGCCUACUGUUGCGAGGAUUGUGAGAUUAGGAGUGUCCUGGCCUUCUGGUGAAAGAGUAGGCUGGGCAGCCAUCUGUGAGGCAGUGACACCACUCAGCCCAGCUGAGUGUAUGUCUAAGCCUGCUGAGGCAGGAGGCAAUCUGAUGUCCUUCAUCAGAAGCAGAUGGAUAAAAUGUGAGGGUGAACCCCCCUGGAGGACCAUACUGCAGCUAGAAGCAAUGGAUUCAAUUUUCAUAUAGGAGCAUGGGUAGAUCUUAAAGUUAUAGUGCUGACCAAACAAAGUAACAAACAGAUGAGAUAUAUAACAUAAUUAUAUUUCUAUAAAUAAAAGAUACAUCCUAAACUAUUUAACACUUAG
ensembl:lncRNA